UGCGCCCGUAGCUCAGUUUGGAUAGAGCACCAGAUUGCGGAUCUGGUGGCCAGAGGUUCGAGUCCUCUCGGGCGCGU
rnacentral:tRNA from 1 species